rnacentral:rRNA from 1 species
GACGAACGCUGGCGGCGUGCCUAACACAUGCAAGUCGAACGGAAAGGCCCUGCUUUUGUGGGGUGCUCGAGUGGCGAACGGGUGAGUAACACGUGAGUAACCUGCCCUUGUCUUUGGGAUAACUUCAGGAAACUGGGGCUAAUACCGGAUAGGAGCUCCUGCUGCAUGGUGGGGGUUGGAAAGUUUCGGCGGUUGGGGAUGGACUCGCGGGUUCUCCGCUUGUUGGUGGAGUAGUGGCUUACAAAGGGUUUGACGGGUAGCCGGCCUGAGAGGGUAACCGGGCACAUUGGGACUGAGGUACGGCCCAGACGCCUACGGGAGGCAACGGGGGAAAAUAUUACACAGUGGGCGCAAGCCUGAUGCAACAACGCCGGGAGCGUGAUGACGUGCUUCUGGUUGAGAACCGCUGUGGCCUGAGACGAAGCGUGAGUGACGGUAACGAGUAAAGAAGCACCGGCUAACUACGUG